ACGGGGUUCAGUCCACCGCACUACUGCAGUGGGCUACACCACCUGCAACUCGUGAACAUCGAAACAAAUACCACGGAAUUGCAUCUUCCCCCGGAUUCGCGGUCAAUGCCCGCAGGGGGCGUCCGUGUUCAUUACUGUGACUAAAAAAGAGCGACCAAGGCAGUCCAACGACUUGAAUUGAAAGCAUGGGAUAACAAAGGAGCAGCCUACCGGCUUCCGUUUCGGCUUUUGUUGGUGUUGAAGUCUGUGGGAGAUUAUGGGCGUGCAGGACCGGUGUUUGGGGGUUCGCCCUCUGCCUUCCCCGCGUUGGGCUUGCCCAGCGUUGGGGCCUGCGCCGCUCAGGAAUGAAGGAGGGUUGGCUCGGGGGAAACGUACUUGAGCGUGAGAGGUGAAAUUCUUAGACCGCUCAAAGACGACUACAGCGAAGGCAUUCUCCAAGGAUACCUUCCUCAAUCAAGAACCAAAGUGCGGAGUCGAAGAUGAUUAGAGACCAUUGUAGUCC
rnacentral:rRNA from 1 species